UAAUAUCACGAUAGCCGGCUACUCGAAGGAAUAACAUGCAAGUACAGUCUACGUACUAAUUAUACGGUACAUAACUCAGCCUAUUUCUCUGAUAUUUAUAGACAAUAAUCAAUACAAUAGACACCGCAUAAUAAAUAUAAAUUUGCAUGAUAAACAGCUUGAAUUGUGGCAUUGUCAUUUGCUUUACUGUGAUCGAUGACGAUGUUCUUUAUAAUAAUAAAUAAUAAUAUAAAUACAAGAGGAUUUUUAUUUUGUGAAAUAUAUACGGAUUUAUACAAAAGAAUGCUGACAUGCUGCUGUGAGACACUGUUAAUAGUUAGACAUCGAUAUUAUACUGUAGAGUCUGUAUAUAUAGUAUAGUGUUAAUGUAUAGUGUCUAUUUUACUAGAGAAAAUAGAAAAAAAUUUGCGAUAUUUCCCUUAAUUCUUAAAUACAUAUUUUAUAGUGUCUAUGCCUAUGGUACAUUAGACUGUCGUAUCGAUAUAAACGGCUUGUUCUCAAGUCUCAACGAAAGUUGGCUAGUUUAAUUGCUACCAAGGUCCAGACUCUAAAUGUUAUGAGAGUAUGACCAUGCUUAUCCAUUUAAUGGAUGUAUAUAGCUAUAUAUUCGUAAUAAAAUGUCAUUUGUAUAUUUCAGAAAAAUUAUGUUUUUAUACUGUAUAUAUAGCUGUUAUUCUUUUGCUUGAUUCAUGCAUGGAGGCUACUAUCUACCGCAAAAAGGACAGCGCAUGCAUGACAUGUAUGUGUAUUUUUGUCAUUCUCAGUCUGGCUUUCAUAUGAACAGCCGUUAAAAACACACAUUGACAUGACAACUAUCCUUUUCUUAAUACCAUACUGACAAGGUUUCCAAAACUCAGCCUGAGGGCUGAGAGCAAACAUAUUUGAGCUUGUUGAACAGACUAAAUGCAUAUUUCACUGAUGUCUGAAUUUAUAAAACAUUGCACACUUUUAUUCCAUAAAUUAAAUCCUCUACUUAGGCUAUCCAACAAGUCCCAUUCUUUGCCCCUUCACAACAAAGAAACACAUGAUACCAAUUGGAUUUAUUUAUUGCCCUUCAAAUAACUAUGUGCCCACAUUUAUUCAAUUAGUAUUCAUGGUAAAUCAUAUUGUCAAUAUAUAAAAUAAUAUUGAAUCUAUUGUGCUUGCCUGUAAUUAGCAAUUAGCAUAUAUGAGCACCCUGAUAUAUCAGUUUCAGUUCACAAAUUACCUGCCCAGUCUAAAAAAUAUUGUCAAAUGGCCCAAACUAGCUUGUGGGAGAUCUAACCAUGCAAGCCUAUUAUUACCUAGCCAUGGGCUCCAUGAAAGAGUCUGUUUAUAAAAUCCCAGCUAGGCAGGAUGAGGCAGUUUCCAAGAUCCUGACUCAUAUCAACUCGUGUUCAAAAAUACAUGUAUAUAUUUGAUGAACUCACUCAUUAACAUGUAUAAACAUGACAUCCUAGCUGGCUGGCAAGGUUUCCCACCUGACAGGAUCAUAUAAACAUGUCUUAAUAUUAAUUAAAAUAAGCCUUUUAAAUACUGCAAUAUCCUACAUACUAAUAUACUAUAUGUCACAAGACUUUGCAAAAUAACAUUUUCUACUUUCCUGGAAAUAUGUCAGACCAGCCCAAUAAUAAACACAUCCAGGUUUACUGCAAAUAUAAUUAUAAAUGUACAACUGGAUCAGCAGAAACAGGGAGGGUUUCAAAGGACUAGGCCACCUAGCUAACUAAGCUAAAAAAAGAAAGGUUAUUCAUUUUGCUAAGCCACACGCAAAAUAUUCCUUGCCCUUACAUGACCAAGAAUCCUCAAUGAGAUAUUUUAUUUAUAAACACAAUAUAAAAAUAUGCAACAGAUUCGAAAACAUUCCAGCGACUAUUAUUCGCAGAGAAACAUUCCAGCGACUAUUAUUCGCAGAGAAACAUUCCAGCGACUAUUAUUCGCGGAAUUACUUUUCCCCGAAAAAUGUCGCUUUAACCCAUGUAGUUCACGUAUAAAUAUCGUUGAACAGAUCUUUUUAAGUGCAGAUAUUUGCCCAACGCCGACCUCGAACGCUUCAGCAAUGCGCUUUAGCCAUAUUUAAUUUAUUACCUUUGUGUUAAAUUUAUGCAUUAUUAAUACCAAUUUAUGCUCCCCAAAUUUUGGGGGGCUGUAAUGUGAUUGGUCAAUCAGAACAAUGCCGAAGCUCAUUGACCCGAGAACACAACGAGUGGCGAGAACACAACGGCUGGAAUCUGAGCCUACCCUCCCCCCUUAGCCAAUCUAUUUUUGUAAAGUUACGUGCCAGCCCCAACCAGGGCCUUUCCCAUAGGUAAGACCCUGGGGCCGAGGUUGGGAUAUUAUAUUCUCAUUUUAAUUUCUUUUUGUUUAAUAAACGGUUAUUCAACUUUAUUCAGUUAAAUGUUUCUUAUUUUUCCACUUAAUGUUUUAAUUUCGUUUGUAAAGUGACCAGUUGUUUGACAAAAUAUUUCCCUUUUUGACCAACUUUUUGAACUUAAAAAUUAUUGAGUGUCAACAACCCCCCCCCCCCCACCCACCCACCUGCCCACACAUACACACAGAUAACAACGUCCCUUGAUACGUAUAGGGAUGACUUGCAGAUUAAGAGAAUUAAGGUGGAACCGAAUUUAUAUUGAAUACACAUAACAAUGACGUGUUUUACCAAAUAAGGUCAUGAGAACGCGAAAAAAUACUAGAGCGGAUUACACGGUAAAAAGACGUACAGUAUUGCUUUGUCUAAACAGGUUUUUUCUGAUUUAAUAGGACAAAGCAAAAAUCCAACUUUUUUAAUGAAAACACACUACGGAAAAACACAAGGUCAAAGAUACUCCUUAUUCGAAUAUAAUGUUAUGAACACUUAAACAGUAAUAAAAUACCGGUAUAAAACGGCAAAAGUAAAACUAUGGCGGGUGAUGUGUGUCAAAAUUAAGUGAAAUAUUUUAUUAUUAUUAUUAUUACUAUUAUAAUUCAUUUAUAUAGCGCCAUUUCCCAUAGCUCAAUAGCGCUUAACAUUAAGUGUUAAAAAUAUAUGCUAAGUGUUAGAACAUAGUGCAUGCAUUGACUAC